GAAGUGUUAGUAAAACAAUUACAUAGCCUUGUCAAGACUAAAUCAUAGGUGAAAACCCUAUACACUUCU
rnacentral:tRNA from 1 species